rnacentral:rRNA from 1 species
UUGAGCGAUUUACUUCGGUAAAGAGCGGCGGACGGGUGAGUAACGCGUGGGUAACCUACCCUGUACACACGGAUAACAUAUCGAAAGGUAUGCUAAUACGGGAUAAUAUAUUUGAGAGGCAUCUCUUAAAUAUCAAAGGUGAGCCAGUACAGGAUGGACCCGCGUCUGAUUAGUUAGUUGGUAAGGUAACGGCUUACCAAGGCGACGA